AAAUAAGAAACAAAAUUUGUUACUAGUUUCGACCUAGUCCUCUGAUGAUUAGAAUUCAUCCUUAUUUU
rnacentral:tRNA from 1 species